rnacentral:rRNA from 1 species
AGUGAACGCUGGCGGUAGGCCUAACACAUGCAAGUCGAACGGCAGCACAGAGGAGCUUGCUCCUUGGGUGGCGAGUGGCGGACGGGUGAGGAAUACAUCGGAAUCUACUCUGUCGUGGGGGAUAACGUAGGGAAACUUACGCUAAUACCGCAUACGACCUACGGGUGAAAGCAGGGGAUCUUCGGACCUUGCGCGAUUGAAUGAGCCGAUGUCGGAUUAGCUAGUUGGCGGGGUAAAGGCCCACCAAGGCGACGAUCCGUAGCUGGUCUGGGAGGAUGAUCAGCCACACUGGAACUGAGACACGGUCCAGACUCCUACGGGAGGCAGCAGUGGGGAAUAUUGGACAAUGGGCGCAAGCCUGAUCCAGCCAUACCGCGUGGGUGAAGAAGGCCUUCGGGUUGUAAAGCCCUUUUGUUGGGAAAGAAAUCCAGCUGGUUAAUACCCGGUCGGGAUGACGGUACCCAAAGAAUAAGCACCGGCUAACUUCGUGCCAGCCGCCGCAGUAA